rnacentral:lncRNA from 1 species
GGCGAGGACAGUGCUGUGCUUCUGGGUGACAAGGACUCUAGCAGGCGCAAGGCUGGCUUCACCGGUGGCAGGGCCCCUGGAUGGAAGGACACACCUGGCAGCAGGUAAACUGACCCUGGAUUCCUCUUUGGUGUUCACCCCAACCACCACCUGUGCUACACAGCGUCAUAGUGCCGAAGUUGGAGUUCACGAGUGCAAUGCUGCCUUACUAAUUGAUUUUGGGGACAGUAUAGUUAUGAUCCACAAUCUCUGAGACUUUGUUGACUGUCACUUCUUAUACAUCCUGAGUUAGUCACAGUUUCAGUUUUCCCAGGCUCACUCUUCUAGGAACUGAUACCACUGUGUCUGUCGUGUCUAU